GGGGAAUAUUGGACAAUGGGCGCAAGCCUGAUCCAGCAAUGCCGCGUGUGUGAAGAAGGUCUUCGGAUUGUAAAGCACUUUCGGCGGGGACGAUGAUGACGGUACCCGCAGAAGAAGCCCCGGCUAACUUCGUGCCAGCAGCCGCGGUAAUACGAAGGGGGCUAGCGUUGCUCGGAAUGACUGGGCGUAAAGGGCGCGUAGGCGGCUUGUACAGUCAGGCGUGAAAUUCCUGGGCUCAACCUGGGGGCUGCGCUUGAUACGUAUGGGCUUGAGUGGGGAAGAGGGUCGUGGAAUUCCCAGUGUAGAGGUGAAAUUCGUAGAUAUUGGGAAGAACACCGGUGGCGAAGGCGGCGACCUGGUCCUUGACUGACGCUGAGGCGCGAAAGCGUGGGGAGCAAACA
rnacentral:rRNA from 1 species